AGAUACCUAAAAAGAAAAAAUGUGUGUACACACAAUUUUCAUACUUCUUUAUAUUGUUCACAUUUACUUUUAAAAAGUCACAUGGAGAAAAUGUAAACUUGAAAUAACAUUAAAUUCUAUUACAUAAAUGAUCUGCUUUAUUUUCAAAACAUUUGUACAAGCUACACUUUCACUUAUUACCUUAAACAAUGCUUUGUUGACAGGAUAUGCCUUAGUCUUUAAGCUUUUAAGAAUAUUAGAAAUAACAAGCUUAAGUUCAAGUACACAAAGUCUGUAAGACUAUCCUGGAAUAUCAAUUUUUAAACUGCACAAGUCACACUGAAGAGAUGAACUUUUCCUUAUGUUGAUGGGAUACCAUAGAAUCAUAUAGAAUGGAAAAGCCACAAAACUGAAAUUGGAGAUACCGAAUCCAUUCUUGGGAAUUAUCUUCAGACAUCUGACUUAGAAAAGAAAAAAAAAAAAAAAUAUAUAUAUAUAUAUAUAUGCACAAUUUUUCAAGGAUCAUGAACUUUUUAAGGAUUAGCAUAGUAUUUAAUGUGCUAGAAGCAAUUUAUUAGUGUUGACCAAGGCCCUAAAAGAGUUAAGUGCCUCUCUCAAACAUGAGUAGACUGAUAUUCUACUCCCAAACUGAGAAGGGCUCAUAUUUUUAUAUAAUUAUAGUCUUUGAAGGACAGCAGGAAAAAAAAAAAAAAAAACCUUACAGAAAACUUACUAAUCGCACUUGGCUGCCCAUUAUUUAAAAUGUCAAUGAAUCUAAGCAAUUUAAAUUAUAAAUAUUCUCAUUUAAUAAAACACCCACACAAUGACAAGAAUGAGACUUUAAUCAGUUUUAAGUGGAGUUUAUAACACUAAGAGAUAAAGGGUUGUUAACAAACACAAUAACAAAUGGACAUCUGAUUGGUAUGAGGCAUUAUCCUGUACACAUCAUAUUUUGUGUAUCCUCAGUGCAUAGCAUUUACACACAGAGCCACUGCUGCACAGCAAAGAAUGGUGAUGCUAUUUAUUCAACUACCCUUAAUAAGUAUGGCAAAAAAUGUCCAAGAGGAGCUACAGAGAUCUUGGGAUGGUACAGGGCCCAAUUGUAAGCUUUCUUAAAAGUGAUGCCUUCAAGUAAUUUCAGACGUGUAAGCGGCUGCACAUCCAAAAAGUCUAAGAAAACAUUCCAGAAACUCAAAGAGAUUACCUACAGAAUGCAUUUCAGGCUAAUCAUGAAUACUGUCAUAAAUAAAGUUUU
rnacentral:lncRNA from 1 species